rnacentral:rRNA from 1 species
GAUGAACGCUGACAGAAUGCUUAACACAUGCAAGUCGAUGGGGAAGUGGUGCUUGCACCAUGGCAACCAUGGCGGACGGGUGAGUAACGCGUAAGGGACUUACCUGCAGGACUGGGAUAACAGGGGGAAACUCCUGACAAGACCGGAUAAUGUCAUGGAGCUGCAUGGCUUUAUGAUGAAAGGAGACGCCUGCGGAGAGCCUUGCGUCCUAUUAGCUAGUUGGUGAGGUAAUGGCUCACCAAGGCGAAGAUAGGUAGCCGGCCUGAGAGGGUGGACGGCCACAAGGGGACUGAGAUACGGCCCUUACUCCUACGGGAGGCAGCAGUGGGGAAUAUUGGACAAUGGGGGCAACCCUGAUCCAGCAAUUCUGUGUGCACGAAGAAGGUUUUCGGAUUGUAAAGUGCUUUCAGCAGGGAAGAAGUAAGUAACGGUACCUGCAGAAGAAGCGACGGCUAAAUACGUG